UACGUAGGGUGCAAGCGUUGUCCGGAAUUAUUGGGCGUAAAGAGCUCGUAGGCGGUUUGUCGCGUCUGCUGUGAAAUCCCAGGGCUUAACCCUGGGCCUGCAGUGGGUACGGGCAAACUAGAGUGCGGUAGGGGAGAUCGGAAUUCCUGGUGUAGCGGUGAAAUGCGCAGAUAUCAGGAGGAACACCGAUGGCGAAGGCAGGUCUCUGGGCCACUACUGACGCUGAGAAGCGAAAGCAUGGGGAGCGAACAGG
rnacentral:rRNA from 1 species